UACGUAGGUGGCAAGCGUUGUUCGGAAUUAUUGGGCGUAAAGGGCGCGUAGGCGGUCCGGUAAGUCCGCUCUGAAAGCCCGGGGCUCAACCCCGGGAGGCGGGCGGAUACUGUCGGGCUAGAGUCCGGAAGAGGCGAGUGGAAUUCCUGGUGUAGCGGUGAAAUGCGCAGAUAUCAGGAGGAACACCGAUGGCGAAGGCAGCUCGCUGGGACGGUACUGACGCUGAGGCGCGAAAGCGUGGGGAGCAAACAGG
rnacentral:rRNA from 1 species